GGUGGCUGGGUGGGGGAGCAAGAGAGGAAGAGGAAGUUGAUGCCCCUUAAAGCUAAAGUUCCAGCUUGGGGCCCCACUGACCUCACCAAACCCCCUCAGGUCGUGAGGCCAGCACCGGGCCAGGCUGGGGGAGUGGAUCCUGCCUCUAGGUGAAGGAGCCCAAUCAGGCAAGAGGGAGCCUUGGGGCUCCCCAGAGACAGCAGGGUGUAUCAGCGGGGUGGUGCGCUGAGCCUGGGAGAACUUGCCCAAGUUGGUGUCCCCUUGGGGUCCCCUGUGCCCUCGUCUUGAGCACUGUCCUCAGCUCGCAGGCCGCUCUCUGCCACCCACUUCCCAGUGGCCCUCGCCCCCAGCUGCAUCCCCCCCUGCCACAGCACUGCUGCCACCUCCUGCCGGAGCUCUGAGCGCUCAGGCAGGCAGAAGUCACCAGCCAGACUGGAGGGGGCGCCGGGGUUGGGCGAGGCUGGGCUCUGCCCUGUGCCCGAGCCCGCCCAUCCCGAGUCCCCACACCCACCCCGUCAACCAGCCUCAGCGGGCUGCUCUCCUUCCACCUCGGUGUGGCAGCAGUGCGCCGGGCCGGCUGGGGUUAGGGUUAACCCUCCUAGGUGGUGAUCUUCUCCGCCCUGCAGCCGAGGAAGGGUAAGGUGGCCAUGCGCCUGGCCCUGGCCCACCUCUUCUCCCUGCCCUGCUGGCACUGAGGCCAGGGUCCUCGGCAGCAGCAGGGGUGGUGUGCAGAGCUAUCAGGGGAGCAGAGCUUCGCAGUGGCUGGGAGGAAGAUGACAGGGACCCCAGAGCCGGGCGUCCGAGGCUGGGCACCUCAAGGGUCCUGCCCUCGCCCGUUCCUCCAGCCGUGCUCCGUUAAGCACCUGCUGUGUGUCUGUCGGCAGCAUGGACCUGCGCCUAAGGAAAGCAUUUGCCAUGGGAUCUCCAAGCGUCCUUGACACAUUCCCUGUUACGUGGACGCCUCGGGUGUUCAGGGUGAGCGGGGCAGCUGGACAGUGGCACCUGGUGUGUGGCCUCUCUGAGCAGUUUUCUCAUCUGUGAAGUGGACGACAGCGGGUCAGGCCAAAGAGGCAGCACCCAAACAAAUGAGAAAGCACUCAGUUGCCAUGAGCACCACAAAGCAAGCCAAGGGUGCGCUGAGGGUCUGAUGGGCUGGGCCAGUGAGGGUCCCUGGGGAGGGACCCAGGGAUGGAAAGGAGCCGGCUGUGUGGAGCUGGAGGAUGGCAGGUGCAAAGGCCCUGUGGGUGGAAAGCUAGGGAAUUUCAGGAAAAGCCAGGGAUGGAGCAGCAGUCAGAGAUAGGGGAGGGCGCCUUCACGCCCCACCCCAGCCGAGCUUAGCGGCUGGCUGCAGCAGAACGUGGACUACGAGGUUAGCCACAGGCCCUGCCACUGCUCACAGUGCCGGCUCAGGGGCCCCGGGCCCGGCCCCUGGUUUCCCUAUCUGUACAGUGAGAACAAUCCAUGCUCAGCUGACAGCGGAGUACAGCACACGGGAGCCCCUCAGACUUGCUGGGAGCAGAGGGUGAGGACUCAGGGCGCACAGCCUGGACCCCCGGCAGCUCCUGCUGAGUUCCUACUGCCAUCUGGGCCUCUCCCCGGACCUGGACCAUGGCCUGAAUCUCACCCUGAUCCUCCACAACCACAGCAGCCCCCAUGCAUCCGACUUCUCCUGGGAGCUGGAACGCUUGGUGAUUCCUGCCUGUGUCACUGGCCCCGCCCUGGGGCCUGCGGAAGAUAGAAGUCUCGCUCUGUCUUAUUGGUAGCCCCGGGACAGCGAGGGACAGAUUCAGGGAGGUCAGGCUGCACCCACCCCCAUAGCAGGUAACGGGUCCUUACCCAGCAGUGCCAGGAGGGGCUGAGCUGCUGGCCGGGGUUGGCGCCGUCAGGUUGCCUGUGGGUUUCCUGAGUGUCCCUGGGCUGCAGCCCCGCCCCGCACCCAGGGUUCUCAGGAAGGAGCCUGUGUGUACUUAGCACCUGUUAAGAGUCCUGGG